rnacentral:rRNA from 1 species
AACGUAGGACACAAGCGUUAUCCGGAAUGACUGGGCGUAAAGGGCGCGUAGGCGGCUGUGACAGUCAGAUGUGAAAUUCCUGGGCUCAACCUGGGGACUGCGCUUGAUACGGCUAGGCUAGAGGAUGGAAGAGGGUCGCGGAAUUCCCAGUGUAGAGGUGAAAUUCGUAGAUAUUGGGGAAGAACACCGGUGGCGAAGGCGGCGACCUGGUCCAUUACUGACGGCUGAGGCGCGACAGCGUGGGGAGCAAACAGG